GACGAACGCUGGCGGCGUGCUUAACACAUGCAAGUCGAACGGAAAGGCCCUGCUUUUGUGGGGUGCUCGAGUGGCGAACGGGUGAGUAACACGUGAGUAACCUGCCCUUGACUUUGGGAUAACUUCAGGAAACUGGGGCUAAUACCGGAUAGGAGCUCCUGCUGCAUGGUGGGGGUUGGAAAGUUUCGGCGGUUGGGGAUGGACUCGCGGCUUAUCAGCUUGUUGGUGGGGUAGUGGCUUACCAAGGCUUUGACGGGUAGCCGGCCUGAGAGGGUGACCGGCCACAUGGGGACUGAGAUACGGCCCAGACUCCUACGGGAGGCAGCAGUGGGGAAUAUGGCACAAUGGGCGGAAGCCUGAUGCAGCAACGCCGCGGGCGGGAUGACGGCCUUCGGGUUGUAAACCGCUUUCGCCUGUGACGAAGCGUGAGUGACGGUAAUGGGUAAAGAAGCACCGGCUAACUACGUG
rnacentral:rRNA from 1 species